GGCGUCAGGAUGAACGCUAGCUACAGGCUUAACACAUGCAAGUCGAGGGGUAGCAGGGUAGCAAUACCGCUGACGACCGGCGCACGGGUGAGUAACACGUAUCCAACCUUCCCAUAACUCAGGGAUAGCUUUCGAAAGAAAGAUUAAUACCUGAUAGUACUUUUUCAAGGCAUCUUGAAAAAGUUAAAGAUUAUUGGUUAUGGAUGGGGAUGCGUUCCAUUAGAUAGUUGGUGAGGUAACGGCUCACCAAGUCUUCGAUGGAUAGGGGUCUGAGAGGAAGGUCCCCCACAUUGGUACUGAGACACGGACCAAACUCCUACGGGAGGCAGCAGUGAGGAAUAUUGGUCAAUGGGCGAGAGCCUGAACCAGCCAAGUAGCGUGAAGGAAUGAAGGUCCUAUGGAUUGUAAACUUCUUUUAUAGUAGAAUAAAGUGAGCCACGUGUGGUUUUUUGUAUGUAUACUAUGAAUAAGGAUCGGCUAACUCCGUGCCAGCCGCAGC
rnacentral:rRNA from 1 species